UCACCGCGCUGGGGCGGGCGGCCGCGCGCGGGGAGCGGGCUGAGCUCGGCACCGAGCGGGGGCGCACGGCUCGGGGGACCCAGGCCCUGCCACCUUCCCUCCGCUCCCGGGCUCCGUCCUCACUUUCCAGCCGUGGAAGGACGAGAAGCGGGAGCCAUGCAGUCGGAAUCAGGGAUCGUGCCGGAUUUCGAAGUCGGGGAGGAGUUUCACGAAGAGCCCAAAACCUAUUACGAACUCAAAAGUCAACCCCUGAAGAGCAGCAGUUCCGCGGAGCAUCCUGGGGCCUCCAAGCCUCCGAUAAGCUCCUCCAGUAUGACAUCACGCAUCUUGCUACGCCAGCAACUCAUGCGUGAACAGAUGCAGGAGCAGGAGCGCAGGGAACAGCAGCAGAAGCUGCAGGCGGCCCAGUUCAUGCAACAGAGAGUCCCCGUGAGUCAGACACCAGCCAUAAACGUCAGUGUGCCCACCACCCUUCCCUCUGCCACCCAGGUGCCGAUGGAAGUCCUUAAG